rnacentral:rRNA from 1 species
UGCAGUCGAGCGGAUGAAGGGAACUUGCUCCUGGAUUCAGCGGCGGAGGGGGGAGUAAUGCCUAUGAAUCUGACUGGGACCGGGGGAUAACGACCGGAAACGGACGCUAAUACCGCAUACGUCCUGAGGGAGAAAGUGAGGGAUCUUCAGACCUCAAGCUAUCAGAUGUGCCUAGGUCGGAUUAGCUAGUUGGUGGGGUAAAGGCCUACCAUCGCGACGAUCCGUAACUGGUCUGAGAGGAUGAUCAGUCACACUGGAACUGAGACACGGUCCAGACUCCUACGGGAGGCAAGGUGGGGAAUAUUGGACAAUGGGCGAAAGCCUGAUCCGACAUGCCGCGUGUGUGAAGAAGGUCUUCGGAUUGUAAAGCACUUUAAGUUGGGAGGAAGGGAAAAGGGUUAAUACCUUGCUGUUUUGACGUUACCAACAGAAUAAGAACCGGCUAACUUCGUGCCAGCAGCCGCGGUAAUACGAAGGGUGCAAGCGUUAAUCGGAAUUACUGGGCGUAAAGCGCGCGUAGGUGGUUCAGCAAGUUGGAUGUGAAAUCCCCGGGCUCAACCUGGCAACUGCAUCUGCAUACUACUGAGCUGAACUACGAGUAUAGGGUGGUGGAAUUUCCUGUGUAGCGUAGAAAUGCGUAGAUAUAGAG